GUUGCCCUUAUCGCAACUUUGACACUUGCUAGCAAGGGGGCCCUUGGAAUACUGCAUUACCACCUAAGACCUGGAGAUAGUCCCUCCAGGUCACAGUUUGAGAGGUGACCAUAAAACAGAGAUGAGCCGCUCUGCCUAUGCAACUCCAAAUAAGGAUUGUCAAUAUGUUGUUAAAUGACCUGAACCAAUCUACAGACAGACAUGCCAGUUCUGUGUCAGGGGUAGUGGAACUGCUGGUACAGAAGGUCACUUCACACUACAAUAUUAUCUAUGAAGUCAGGAGUGAAUAUGCAUGUGGCACCAAAUUAGAUUCUCUUCUUGGCUGCAGAGGAACCUGUGUGUUCCUGGAUUCUCCCCAGGUUUUUCAGAGAAGUCUGGAGGAUAUAGAAGCAACCACAUGCCCGUGACUAACAGAGCCAAACAAAAGAAGGAGCCAGAUUUUUCAGAAGCAUUAGGAUUAGGGAAAGAGACAUUGAAAGGACUGGCACUGGUGUUAUGUUUUUAGGGGACAUAGACCUGAGCAAGUUCCAGGUUUAGCACAGCUUUUGGGCUACCUUAAAAUCAGAAUGAUGCAUUUUUCCAGUGCCCAUAUGUACAAUGAGUAUUAAAUGUGCACCCACUCUGUAAUAUACGUCACACACUGUGCCAUUAUGCAUCAAAUAAAAAACACGAUCAGAGCUUUAUAUCUACAAAUGAAGAGCAUAAUCCUUCUCCCA